rnacentral:lncRNA from 1 species
GAAUUAUACUUUUUCGAAAUUCAAACCCUAAACCCUAAAACUCAACUCUAAACCCUAAACCAUCAAUCCCAAACCCAAUUUUUUUUAAAAAAUACAAACCCUAAACCCUAAACCAUCAAUCCUAAACCCUAUACUUUGUCUGAAAUACGAACCCUAAACUCCGAAACAUCAACUCUAAACCCUAAACCCCGAAACAUCAACUUUAAACCCUAAACCCUAAACCUUCAACUCUAACCCCUAAAACAUCAACUCUAAACCCUAAACCCUAAACCUCAACUCUAAACCCUAAACCAUCAACACUAAACCCUAAACUAUCAACAAUAAACCCUAAACCCUAAAAAGUAAACUUUAAACCCUAAACCCAAAAAAAUUAACCCUAAACCCUAAACUCUAAACCCUAAAUCCUAAACCCUAAACUCUAAACCCUAAAACCCUAGAGUUGAUGUUUUAGGGUUUAGAUUCAAAGGUUUAGGGUUUACCUGCAAUUUUUGCAGUAAAAUUCCACCAUUUCAACAUCUGUGAUCACCAUUGUAGUGAACUCACAACGCUUCCUGCAGAAAAUAUCAAAACAAAAAAAAAAGACCAUGACUAAACUAAGAGUAUGGUACACAGAACUUGACAGUGAUUAAUGGACAUUACGCAUCAGAUUGCAG